UAAGACGAAGGGGGCUAGCGUUGUUCGGAAUUACUGGGCGUAAAGCGAGUGUAGGUGGUUUUCCAAGUUGGAUGUGAAAGCCUUGAGCUCAACUCAAGAAAUGCAUUCAGGACUGGGAGACUAGAGGACCGGAGAGGAUAGUGGAAUUCCCAGUGUAGUGGUGAAAUACGUAGAGAUUGGGAAGAACACCAGUGGCGAAGGCGGCUAUCUGGACGGUUUCUGACACUAAGACUCGAAAGCGUGGGGAGCAAACAGGAUUAGAUACCCUGGUAGUCCACGCCGUAAACGAUGGGUGCUAGACGUUGGCGGGCUUGCUCGUCAGUGUCGCAGCUAACGCGUUAAGCACCCCGCCUGGGGAGUACGGCCGCAAGGUUGAAACUCAAAUGAAUUGACGG
rnacentral:rRNA from 1 species